rnacentral:rRNA from 1 species
UGAACGCUGGCGGCAGGCCUAACACAUGCAAGUCGAACGGUAACAGGAAGCAGCUUGCUGCUUCGCUGACGAGUGGCGGACGGGUGAGUAAUGUCUGGGAAACUGCCUGAUGGAGGGGGAUAACUACUGGAAACGGUGGCUAAUACCGCAUAACGUCGCAAGACCAAAGAGGGGGACCUUCGGGCCUCUUGCCAUCAGAUGUGCCCAGAUGGGAUUAGCUUGUUGGUGAGGUAACGGCUCACCAAGGCGACGAUCCCUAGCUGGUCUGAGAGGAUGACCAGCCACACUGGAACUGAGACACGGUCCAGACUCCUACGGGAGGCAGCAGUGGGGAAUAUUGCACAAUGGGCGCAAGCCUGAUGCAGCCAUGCCGCGUGUAUGAAGAAGGCCUUCGGGUUGUAAAGUACUU